rnacentral:rRNA from 1 species
CCUACGGGAGGCAGCAGUGGGGAAUAUUGCACAAUGGGGGAAACCCUGAUGCAGCGACGCCGCGUGAGUGAAGAAGUAUUUCGGUACGUAAAGCUCUAUCAGCAGGGAAGAAAAUUACGGUACCUGACUAAGAAGCCCCGGCUAACUACGUGCCAGCAGCCGCGGUAAUACGUAGGGGGCAAGCGUUAUCCGGAUUUACUGGGGGUAAAGGGAGCGUAGACGGCAGCGCAAGUCUGGAGUGAAAUCCCAUGGCUUAACCAUGGAACUGCUUUGGAAACUGUGCAGCUAGAGUGCAGGAGAGGUAAGCGGAAUUCCUAGUGUAGCGGUGAAAUGCGUAGAUAUUAGGAGGAACACCAGUGGCGAAGGCGGCUUACUGGACUGUAACUGACGUUGAGGCUCGAAAGCGUGGGGAGCAAACAGGAUUAGAUACCCUUGUAGUC